CCAGCCAUCCAGCAAGUGAUGAUCAUGGCCUGUGCGAGGACAAGAACAAUGUCUCAGCAAGUGAUGAUCGCCUUACUACUUGUGCUCAUCUCAUGCCCAAAUGGCUCAGCUGAGGCUCGCACAUCAUCAGGCGACCUCGACGGCGUGCUGCACCACGGUGCGCGGAAGCUUCUGGGCCGCCCCGCGCCUCCGCCGCCGGCGCCGGCGUCACGCCCUCCGUACAGCGCCUCUGUCGUCUUGCCCCCGCCGCCUCCAGCGAUAUGAUGCGACAAGCACGCCGUCCUUCUCUGUACUAUAUAUGCGCUGCAUAUGGCUAGCUGCACAUAGAAUUACUUCAGAGUUGUGUAGGGCUAGUAUGAAUCAAUACUUCAGAGUUCAGACAGGCUCACUGUAUCAGAGAUGCUGAUCAACUGAUGACCAUGCAUAGAUGCUGUCGUCGUCAACUGUUUAAGAAUUCAGACAAUCUGGCGGUUUUCGCUAGAAUAUACUGUCGGUA